CGAAAGCCUGACGGAGCAACGCCGCGUGAGGGAGGAAGGUCUUUGGAUUGUAAACCUCUUUUCUCAAGGAAGAUAAUGACGGUACUUGAGGAAUCAGCAUCGGCUAACUCCGUGCCAGCAGCCGCGGUAAUACGGGGGAUGCGAGCGUUAUCCGGAAUUAUUGGGCGUAAAGCGUCCGUAGGCGGUCAUGUAAGUCUGCUGUUAAAGCGUGCAGCUUAACUGCAUAAGGGCGGUGGAAACUGCAUGACUUGAGUGUGGUAGGGGUAGAGGGAAUUCCCGGUGUAGCGGUGAAAUGCGUAGAUAUCGGGAAGAACACCAGUGGCGAAGGCGCUCUGCUGGGCCGUAACUGACACUCAUGGACGAAAGCUAGGGGAGCG
rnacentral:rRNA from 1 species